rnacentral:rRNA from 1 species
UAAGGAAUAUUGGUCAAUGGACGCAAGUCUGAACCAGCCAUGCCGCGUGAAGGAUGAAGGCCCUCUGGGUUGUAAACUUCUUUUAUCUGGGACGAAAAACAGGAAUUCUUUCCUGCUCGACGGUACCAGAGGAAUAAGCACCGGCUAACUCCGUGCCAGCAGCCGCGGUAAUACGGAGGGUGCAAGCGUUAUCCGGAUUUACUGGGUUUAAAGGGUGCGUAGGUGGGCAGGUAAGUCAGUGGUGAAAUCUCCGGGCUUAACUCGGAAACUGCCAUUGAUACUAUCUGUCUUGAAUUUUCUGGAGGUAAGCGGAAUAUGUCAUGUAGCGGUGAAAUGCUUAGAUAUGACAUAGAACACCCAUUGCGAAGGCAGCUUACUACGGAAUUAUUGACACUGAGGCACGAAAGCGUGGGGAUCAAACAGGAUUAGAUACCCCCGUAGUCC